rnacentral:lncRNA from 1 species
AGCAAAACUGCCGCCGGCGUGUCCUGUGCGGCCAGCCGUCCCUCCACCGCGCGCUGCGGGCUGCCACUCCAGGACCGUGCUUCAGACAGGUCCGCUCCCCCAUCCGCGAAACACUGAUGUCUCUGUGGCUGACUCUAGGCUCUUUCUUCGGUCUCGAAGCUGGAGUCACGGAAGGCUAGUUCCUCCUGAAGGGAUUCGGAGAACAAUCUGAUGCACAGCUUCGUGUUGUUCUGCAGAAGCCAAGACCCCUCACACCCAGGUACGUGCUGAUCACAAGCACAUGAACCUCAGACUAGCUGAAACUAAAGAAUGAUGAUGAAGAUUCCUGAAACAUCACCCUCUUACUUCUCCACCAACUAAUCAGAAGAAAGUCCAUGAGCUGAUCACGCACCUGGCAACCCUCAC